UACAGAGGUCUCAAGCGUUGUUCGGAUUCAUUGGGCGUAAAGGGUGCGUAGGUGGCUUGUUAAGUUGAAGGUGAAAUCUCGGGGCUCAACUCCGAAACUGCCUUCAAUACUGGCGAGCUCGAGGACUGUAGAGGAGAAUGGAAUUCACGGUGUAGCAGUGAAAUGCGUAGAUAUGGGGAGGAAGAUCAGUGGCGAAGGCGAUUCUCUGGGCAGUUCCUGACACUGAGGCACGAAGGCGAGGGGAGCAAACGGG
rnacentral:rRNA from 1 species